CAUUACAAUUCUCUCAAAUGACUUCUUUCUAUUUUCUCUAUCCAAAUUGAAAAUAAAAGUGCUGUGACCCAAAUUUCGCUUUUUCUUGUCUUGGUUUUAGUCUGUAUUUGUCAUUUUACAGCAAAGAAAAGAGGAAUAAAAAUAAACUCCAAAUUGGGACAUAUAUUAAACAAAAAGAAAAGAAGCUCAAAUGUGAAAUUAUGGGACUCUAAUAAACUUCUCUCUAAAACUCACUCCUCAAUCAUCUCUUGUCCCUAAAUGUAGACAUUUCAAGUCCUGAAGCUAGAAGCAAUUCCCGCAACAAUACAGUUCAUUAGUCACCCAUCACGUUGUUUCAAUCAAGAACAAAUGUUGUCUUAGUUCUUAACUUUGUGUUGCUCAUGUAGCCAAAACCGUGCAUUCCUCCUCCUCAGGACAUUCCCCAACCUGAGCUGCUCAUAUGAACUACUCCUCAUCUUAUAGAUCUUAAACACAUUCUAUUGCUUUUACCAUACUUAAUACACCAUUCACAACUGUUCUCUACUUCUCUCUUAUGCUUCUUUCCUACUCCAUAGAAAAUUGUGACAUAUAACAUUCAUUCUCUCUCUUAUAGUGAACCAUAAACAAAGAUGCAAAUUCAAUUAGACAUCUUUAUAUCUUGCUUUCUUUUUAACUUUAACCAUUGACUGUUGUUUAGUUAAAAUAUCCAUUCAUUGUUCUUUCGUUGCUUGAAACUUGUAAUAAAGAAUUAAAAAAACAAACUGAAAGUAAACAAUUUUUUUAACCCUUACAAAACUAACCAAGCUUCUCUAAACACAUUGACCUGAAAACAUAUCUUAAAAACGAACACUCAAAAACUACACUUUAAUGCUUGAGAAGCUUAUUGGCUUCCCUGAAACCACUAAAGUAAGCACCAAGAAUUGUAGAGUACUGGGUUCUACGUUUUGCUUCCCCUACAAACAUGACUUGAAGCUCAUGAAGCUUGGCUUGAUCACGAUAACUGACCUGGCCACUCAUUUUUUUAACCCUUGGCAAUGGCUCAGCCAUGGCUUGAUCCAACCGCGACAUAUGAAUUUCGCUGAAUAGAGGGUCACCUCCCCUUUUGUUCUUCAAGACCUUUGUGAUUUUCAUGACUUCAUCAUCGUUAUCAUGCACAAAGCCUUUAACCAACGGCUUCGAAGUUUUUGCGGUGCCCUUUUCACUUCCUUUCCUGUCAAGCAAGAGAUAGUGGUGAAGAGAAAUAAUCUCCAAGUGCAUUGUGUACCCGGAGAAGAAGUCCACCGUGGCCGAUCUCCGUCUCUCAGUCUCUGAUCUUCCUAUGCUCUCAUGUCACAACAUUCAAAAAGGUGUGCUCCUCGCCACCCCUCCGGUGCCAGCAGUUAACCGCCAUCCUAAACGUCGUCGUCUUGCUCGGAUCGAGGUUCCUUGCUCGCGUAACGGAUCGCCAUAGCUGAGCACUGAGAGAUUGGAACGAAGAAAUCUCAGCCGUUCGAUCGUAAUUCUUCUUCGUUCAGCCGAUUUAAUUUGCCUAAUAUGUCGUUUAGGUUGAUUUGGGUGACAUGGCAUAAUUCAAUACUAUGAUAGGCUGAUUAAAUUUGCCUACGUGGAUACUCUGUCAUUAAAACAAUUAAAACAAUACUAUGAUAUGAGCUCAACUGAUGACCAUUAAAACAAUCAACCAGUCUGUUAUUUUGAUUUGCACGCCUUUAAUCUGUCAUGCAAUGGCUUAUGAGCUAUGUGUUUGGAUCAUUCAAAUAAAAAAUGGUUACAAUGAGAGAGCUGUGAUUGUAAUCUACUGUUGCAUGGGAGGGGUGCAGCGGAUAUCAGAAGGAAUAUGUUUGAUUGCGGUAGAACAGACAAUAACUUUGGCCAUGGAAGGUGAAGGGGUAGGGGAAGACUGAAGAUGACAUAGGCGGGGAAAACGACGUGUUUAUGUAAUGAAUAUUUUGACCUUAAAAUAUGUAAUGAAUAUAUUUAGGCUUGUGGUAAUCAUCAUUCACACCUGUGCAUCUAACGUUAUGUACUAGAGGAGUAAACUUGUAUCGAGAGCAUUAUUGAAUCUUUGGAAACUAAGAAUGUAUGCUGUAUUCCUCAACAGGUGGCAAUUGUUCCUCUGUAGAUGGUGCAUUUCGAGUGUUAAAAGAUAUUGGUGAGUGGUUCUGGAUUUGAACAUAACUUCAUAACAUGUAGCUAACAUCUUAAGUGAUCACUCUUGGAACGAAGUUUACAUUACCACAAGGUUCCAUCUUAAACACACAUUUGUGAUAUUACACCGUUACACACUCUCGCAGGUGCACAUAUGUUGUCUCUUCUUUUCUGUAGUGGAUUGCAUAGACUGAUGCAGAACGGGAAAACAAAUGGACGGAGGAGUGAAGAGACAUCAAAGUAUAUAAUUGUAUUAUUGACGCCUCCUAAAGACGAACUAUGAUCCUCUAGACCCUAAUCCCAACCUAAGUUUCUCAUCAACGUAUGUGAUCCUAAGCUUCACUUCGCUUUCAAACCCAUAUUUAAAACUCCAGAGAACCAACCUUCAGUUCCGGAUCCUCUAGACUUAGAUUUUAAGUUACAGUUUUAAACCUUUUCAUACAAAACUUCAGUUAAAACAAGCACUGAUCAUGUUGUAAAAAAGUUUUUUUGAUAUGAAUAAUUUAACAUUCUUUCAAAAAACAAAAGAAUAUCACCUGAACCCACUCACUGUCCAACACUUUCAGCUUCCCUACAAAAAAAUCAAACACAAGUUGAAACAUUAAAUACAUAUUGGGUUUUAUUAGCGAGACACAACAAAUCAACAAUUUUAACAAAUAAUUUUAAAAUAUCUAUAUAAAUACAUCAUUUUAAUCACUAUUUUCAGAAUGUACCAUUUUUUGUUAUUCAAAAUGUAUUGUUCUAAUACUAUUACCAUACAAUAGUUUGACUAUUUCUAUAAACAACUUAGUAAGGUAAAAAAAGAUAAACACCAAUAAAAUUACCACAAAACAAGUCAAACAAAUCUAACCAUUUUUACGGAUCACCAUGCAGAAAUGAAAUUUCGAUCUAUCAAUUAAUAAAAAAAGUCUAUAAAUUAAUCAAAUUUAAAAAGAAAUUUCAACCAUCAAACCAGCAAAAUUUAAAUUCAAAAGAAAUAAUAAUAAACAUACGGUGUGUAUCGUAAGAAUAUCACAAGUAAAAACAAUAUGUCGUCAUCACAGUUCGCUAUCUUUUACAUUGUCCUGAUUGCUGUAUUUUCUCUUCAUGAAUUUGUCAGUGGCCAGGUAAGACCCAAUGAUCUACCUGUUAAAAGACAUUGUCAACAAAUGAGUUGCGUUAACGGCACGAUUAAAACUUGCUUUUGUUGUCUCACCAUAAGAAAGACCAAUCUGUGUUAUUGGACCAAAAGGAGAUGUAUGAGACGCUGCGAACCGCAUAGGCCUCGAGCAUGAAUAACCAUUUUUAAUACUUUCUAAUAUCUAUUUUCGUUUUAUAUGCAUAAAACAUACUUAUCUGAAAUCCAAAGAUAUAAGCUAUGCCUAUUGUAUUUGUGUUUACAAACUUUCAAAUUCUAUGUAAUGUCUUUAAGUUAAACUUAUUUUCUCUCCUUUUCAUUUU